UACGUAGGGUGCAAGCGUUGUCCAGAAUUAUUGGGCGUAAAGAGCUUGUAGGCGGUUUGUCGCGUCUGCCGUGAAAUUUCGAGGCUCAACCUCGAACUUGCGGUGGGUACGGGCAGACUAGAGUGUGGUAGGGGGAGACUGGAAUUCCUGGUGUAGCGGUGAAAUGCGCAGAUAUCAGGAGGAACACCGAUGGCGAAGGCAGGUCUCUGGGCCACUACUGACGCUGAGAAGCGAAAGCAUGGGGAGCGAACAGG
rnacentral:rRNA from 1 species